rnacentral:pre_miRNA from 1 species
GAUUUCAACUAAAAAACUCAUCAACAACAAAGUUUAUAACUCAUCGAGAUCUAUAACUUUUAUUUUGAUCAUUUCUUCAUCCGAUAAAGUGAUAGUAAUAUUGUUCACAAAAUUUACAUAUCUCUCAUAUGGUUUUAUAAACUAUAAGAGAGAUGUGUAAAUUUUGUGAACAAUGUUAGUAUCACUUUGUCGGAUGAAGAAAUGAUCAAAAUAAAAGUUAUAUGUCUUGAUGAGUUCUACAACUUUUAUGGUCAUGACUUUUUCAGCUGAAAUU